UAUAAAACUUAGUUUUGAUUUGAAUUUAGAUGGAUGAACGGACUUAUAUGAUAAUUUUGUGAUUUUGUAAAGGUUUUAUUGUUUUUUGCUUAAAUAGGAGAAAAUAAAAUAAGACUAUGGUAUUAAAGUAUUCUUGAAAAUAUUUAUUUUUUACAACUUCAGCAUAAGAUAUUAAAAAUAAGAGAAUUCUUGAUUUAGUGAUUCAUUAGAUGGGUGGCUAAAAUCGUGCCAGCUGCCGCGGUUAGACGGGGACCUGAAUUUAAAUUUAUACGACAAAUGUAGAGAUAAAUAUUUAUUCAUCAAAAUUAACUGAUAGUAGAGGUUAAAUUCCAUACUGUUAUUUUUAUUUUUUCUUGGUGUGUUUUAGUUUCUACGAAACUCUAGUAAAAGACUGGGAUCAGAUACCCCAUUAUUUGGAAAGAAAAUUUUGUUGAAGUAUUACGAGUGUUUACUUAAAACUUAAAAAACAUGGCGGUAUUUGAGAUACAGUUAGGGGAACCUGUUGCAUAAAUGACGAUCCGCGUUUUACCUUUCUUUAUCUUGUUUUCAGCUUGUAUAUCGCCGUUAUCAGUUUACCUUGUGAAGGAUAUAAAGUAGGCGCGCAUCGAGUUCAGGUCAUGACGCAGCAAAUGGUAAAGUGCUUAUGGGUUACGAUUUAAAAUACAUUUGGAUAUAAAUUUUUAAUAGUUUAUUGAAAUAGGACUUAAUAGUAAUUAGUGUUUAGCAUGCAGUAAUGAACGUGUUUUUUAAGUAUGUACAAAUCGCCCGUCGCUCUCGUAUAAAAAUGAGAUAAGUCGUAACAUAGUAAAUGUAGCGGAAGCUGUAUUUAGA
rnacentral:ncRNA from 1 species